GCCGUGAACACCACUUCCCUGGAGCUCCAAUCAGUGCCCACAGCGCAGGGCGGGAUGAGGCCAGGGCCCCCGGCAGCCGCACCGCAGCUUUGGCUGAGGAGAGGAGCCAGCAGUGCAGCUUUGUGACAAUCCUCUGGCGUGCUGGAUGGGGCUCCGGGCAGGGCCGCGCUUCCCUGGGGUUUCUAGCUCCCGGGAGCCCCGAUGCCUGGGUUCGAGCCCCUGGGUUCAGAGCCCCUCGCGGCCUUUGCGCCGCUGCCCAGGUGGCUGCCCUUCAUGCUGACGUUCCAGCUAUACCCUUCAGUACCGAGGACGCUGCCUUUCCAAACUAUAAAACCCACAUACAUACGAACACGGAAGCGCCCAUGCUGCUGCAGAAAGCGGAAUAGCACAACUUGUACAGAGCUUUCUCAAUCCCUUCGCCCUGCAACCACUGUUCCGUUCAACGUUGUUAGAGAUUAUAGGGCUUUUGCCACCAGCCACCCAUAACUUCUGAAAAAAGAAUGCAUGAAAAACACAGUCCUCUGUCUUAUAGUUGCCAGGAAGUAUAUGUCACCACUCCAGAUAACUGCCAGUCUUGAUCUCCCUGAAAUGCUUUCUCUACUACAUGCACAACAUUCUCUCCCAGAUGAACAAUCUGAGCAUUACGGCAUCCCAUUUCCUAAUGGACUGGAGACAGAUAAUCCCAGAAAAUAAAAACAGAAGAUGCUCAAAUGGAUUCCAGACACUGAGGACAUCCUGCUCCUGAACCUUAUCCAGCUCUGACCUUUCAAACUCUCAAGCACCUCAGAGGGGGCUUCAGCACAGACGUUCCAGGUUGGAGGCUGCAGCUCUGAAGCCGGGAUCCUUGGCCCCACAGGGAGUGGCGGAGGAAGCCUCGUGGCUUUUUGAUACAGGGUCAUCUGGAAAGGAAUUCAGAAGCACUGUAGAAGCAUAGCCGUACCAAGUAUUCACAACAAACAGCUGAGAUAGCCUUUUCUCCUACAUGGAAAUCAAUUUCAGUCUCUUCUGCCGCAGCUGAAGAAGAAUUUAUAUGAACACAGUUCAUCAUAUGCAAGUGGCACUAAAGGCUAAAAACUCACCAUUCAGCAACUGAUCUGACACUCGAAGGAACCUUGGGCCACUCCACCUUCACAUGCGCAGCGGGGUGCCCGGCAAACCGCCCAGUUACCAGCUCAGUAGAAACCCUGUAGUCCUGGCAAUUCCGGCCCCAUUCCAGGGCAGCCUACAAUGCAGCGAGAAGCAGUCCAUUUUUAAAAACAGGGAACAUCAUCUUCUUGUUCUGUAUACAGUUGUAUACGACAAUUUUUUGAACCUUACCACUGCCUCGUGAGCACUGAGGACCGAAGCUUCUGCACAAAGCUGCUUCCACUUGCUUGAAACUGAGAGGUUUGUCACAAAUACCUGCAUCUGGGGCCUGACAAAGCUGAUAUCAGCAUAUACUACGAGCUGGAGGCCUCCUUUCUUCUUAUUGUUACUAAUGCCACGGAGAAAAGCAGCUAACGCCGGGGUUUUGAUGUCACCUAGAAACUUUGGCUAAGAAGAAGGGGCACAAAGUAGGCAAAGAACAAGAUUACAAAGGAGUUGCUAUAGAACAUUUUAAAUGCAAGAUCUAUAAAAUAAAAACUGAACUGCAAAUAUAUAGCAGCAGAUGUACUGCACAUAUUUCUAUAUAGGCCUGUAAAUUCUCAUGCAUAUGCCUUAGCAUGCGUGUGCCCCUGUAAGCACAGACAGACCUCAUCACUGUAUUUGAAAUAAGCCAAAAUGUGCGCCUUCUACUGAGCUACACCCCGUGCACCGUAAAAAGACUGCACCAUGAAAAGCAUGCAGGGGAUCUACAGUGUGUGUCCCGCUCAAAACUUGACAGUUCGGUGUUUCUCUGUUCCCAUUGCCCUAGCUGGGCAAUUACCACAAAUGCACGGCCACUCUACCACUCUUCCAAGCUGUGGAAAGCCCCUAACAAUGACGCAGCGAACCCAGGAAGCAGCUCGGAACGUGCCACGGCUGGAUCCGGUAGAGGAGUAUGUGCUGGUAACUUGGUCACCCGGGAGUUUUCUUAAGGGGAACUGCAGAAAAAAACCACACCACGCUGAGGAAGGUACUUGAAAAUCACACUCGAGGAAAUUGCACUAGGCAGUGCUGCAGAAUAUCCUUUGUUAUGGAGGUUAUUACUGAUAUGAGUCUUAGAAAAACUGCCACUGCUGGUUUGGUGUUGUCAGUACUGCAGAUUACAAGCUCAAUUAACUGAGAGUUAAAAACUCACCUCUUGUCUGCGUGCUGCUCUAAAGCAAUACUGAUAAAUCUCAUGAUGCCCCUUGGAAAAUAUUAACAAGAAGGAGAUAAAAAGCCUUGGAAGAAAAGAAAUGCUGCAAUUGCAUUCAAAUCUGAGCACUGGAAACUACCUCAGAAUUUUUCUAAUUAUCAUUCACACAUAGUUCUGUACACCUAGGUACAAGCACAUAGUACAAGCAAGUUCAGACACGUGCCGAGCGGGGAGAGAUGCUCUGUCGCAUAAAUCUCCCGUGCAGUGACAGGUUUUGUGGAUCCUUCUCCACAGUUUCUUAUGCUGAAGCUCAAGCUGAAGAAGAAGAGGCAACUUUGGGGGGACCUAACAGCAGCCCCUGGUAACAGCUACGGGGAGGCUACGGCCAGGCUCUGCACAGCGGUUUCUGGUGGGAGGAUGAGAGAGAAAGGGCACGGACUACAAUAAGACAGGCUCAGGUGAUGACGUAUAGAGCGACCUUCUCCCCGUGAGGACAGGCAAGCAGCAGAGCUGGUUGCCCGUGGAAGGCGUCCAGCCUCCGUCACUGGAAUGUUUCAGGAUCAGGCCGGACAAAGCCCCGAGCAACCUGAUCUGAGAGCGUAGCUGGCCCUGCUUUGAGCAGCUGAUGUGCACGCAGAGCUUCUUAGCUCCGUUCCAAACAGCACGACCCUGCGAUUCUGUGACUGUGUGACUUGAUAUGAUUGUAGGAACCUACCGAAAGCCUGCUGAGGUUCUGACUGACUGCAGUAGCAUUUGGAUGGGAACCAAGACAUUACGGCAAUAAUAAUUCUUAGUGAGAGGGGACUUGAUUCAGGACGCUGUUCCAGAGCUCCAUAAUCUUGCUGCUGCAAAUUUCCCAAUUAAGUAAAAAAAAAAUUGCUUAUUUGGCAAAGUUUACUGAGUGUGUCAAAUUGAUAUGCGUGUUACGACCGUGCAAUUAGACUCACGUCGCACCAACAAACAGAGAUGUGCAUCUGGCACCAGAAGUAGAGAACACGCUAUUAAAUACUGCUUUCCUUCAGUUACGUGUUUUCCUACUAUAUAAACUUUUCAUUAUAUAAACUAUUUCAAAACUUUUUUAUCUGCUCCCAGAACAACAAACUCCUGAAAAAGUGAGAUUGGAUUUUGCACUAGUCAUGGUACAAACGCACGUUACAUUCAUAUUUUUACUGUUGAACUUGUGAAAAAUAUUAAGAUUCUUUGUUGUAGAUGAAAUAAAUACACCCUUAUGUAAGACGUGAUGCCAAUUCUGAGGGCUGGCUGCAGACACAGGUGGUUCUGCUGAUUGGGGAAUUACAAGCAAGCUGUGUGUUAUAGGCGGGGAGAAGAGUAGGGGUGGGGUGUUGGGGAGAAGUUUUAAAUAAAUGGGAGUUUGUUGGAGCUGAGCAAGCUUAGAGGACUGGGAGGGCGAUGGUCUGAUGUUUUGUAGUAGGCAAUCUGAAAGGGGCAAGGUUAUGUGGUGAAAGUAUCUAGGAGCGUGGGCAAGCUCUUUCAAUAUAUUACUGGAAAGGCUUAGGAAACCCCCUGAGAGCGUAUCGUGGUGCUAGGUAAUGGAAUAAAGCCACCUGUCUCUUUUAGUUUCUGAGCUGGAGCUUAGUCCCUAGAAAUGGCUUCAGCAUGCAGGAGUGGUGUAAGCUAGAUCUGGUUCAGGCCAGCCUGGUGCGGGCUGGGGGCUGUCCUUCAGCCUCUCAGCUACACUGGAGUUGCUGGCCUGGCACAAACAGUUACAAGGGAGGUUUGAGCUGCGUAGUUUUCUCUCUUUUGAAACCAUCUUUUCACAAGAAAUUCUUAAAUAUUUCAGAAGCAUGCUUGCUGUUGAGAUUGCAAGGAUAUUGGCGAAGUAACUAUUCUGUGUUAGGCUCCUGCAUUUUGAUAAGACUAAUCUCAGGAAAUACAAAUACGAGAUUGUUUUCUAAUGCUGAUAUUGGCUGGUAAAAACAUAAUAAGUUUUGCAUUCAUAAGUAAUGUAAAACUUAUCUCCAAAAGAGCUAAUCCGUAACCAGAUUCUGUAAUAGCCUUUGUAGUAGCUGGCUUGUUGUUUCCACUUUGGCUUGUUAGUGCUGAACUAAUGGGGGUUUCCUUUUUGGCUUGGUCUCCUGGCCUUUAUCCAAAGGACUUCUGUACUUCAGAAGGUGUCGGAAGAGACUACCAUAUUUUAGGCUAUGUGGUUUCUGAUUCAGGGCAAUCGCUUGUGUAGUUCACUGUACAGAAAUAUUCCAGUCUACCGUUUCCUAGGUAGUGCAGUUUUUUUAAUGGAUGUAUUCUCCCAAAACCCAGAGGAAAAAUCACCAGUGCAAUCCAACGUAAAAUGGAAUUUGUAGCCACAGAUAUUAUGUUGAUUUGCAGUUGUAACCAGGAUUGUUUUCGGAACAGUUGCACAGCGUUUUAAGAUGCCCAGAGAGAACUCACUGUUUUAGCUGUUCUUAAGCUAAAUGCAUUCCUCUUCCUUCUAGGCAUAUUAGUAAAUGAUUUGAAGAGGUUAGCCUGAAAACUGAAAUUGCUUGAUACAGAGUAGUACUUCGUAUGCCAGAAGCGCUGCAAGAGCAUAGCAAAAGCGUAGCAAGCAGCAAGAAUACGGAAUACCUCAAAGCCCGGUAGAGUAUUUGAAAGCUUGGUUCGUUCGUUUCUUUUGAGUAAGAAGCUUCUAAUUAGCUUAUUGUGACUGGGUGGUAUUCAGCUUUAUUGAAGUAGUGAAGCGGUACUUUAAGCAAAUUCACCGUUUCCUGGAAGCAUUCCAGGAAUUGAUUCUUUUUCUCCUACCACGCGAUGGAGGCAGUGCUGACGGUAGCUCUUCAGAUGGCAAUAAUGAAAUGAUCCCGGGGUGGAAUGUGGUGAAUUACAUAAUUCUCCAAUGUAGCUUAAGCAAUGUUGUUCAUAAAUGAUUAAGAAGUCCAAGUUCAUAAUGGGAGGUUUGGUAAGUACAGUGUCUUCUGCAUGUUUCUAGCUAUCAUUAGUACCUGCAUGUAGAUUUUGUCUUGCUUGUUCAAGUUGGUAAUAAGUCUCAUAUAGUGACUUCAGGAAUUUUCCCGGAGAAACAGGCCUUUUUACAGCAGAAGGAAUCAACACCUCCCCUUGUUUCCCACUGCCUCAGCUAAAUUAAAAACAACCAAACAACAACAACAAAAAAAAACAGCCAGAGGAAACUGCACAUGCUUCUCUCUUGUGUUUGUCUGCUGGGGUGUGAAGCUUCCCUGCACAUGGAACAGCUGAGCUGCAUUAGCCAGACAAUUUGCACAGGGUAAUUCAUGUAGCUUAUCAGUGGGAACGCUUAACACCUGAGAUGAAUUGGAGGCCUUGCUAAGAAUUGAACUCCACAGCUGGAUUGGAAGCAGUUGCAAAUGCUCUGGAUUCUGGCUGUCCUUUGCUUCAGAGCGCUACAGCUUGUCCUUGGAGGAAGGGGUGCAUUGUGAGCCAAGCGAGGCUAAAGUAACUUGUCAGCACUGUUCUGAAGGCAUCUGUGAAAAUACUCUUAUGUUAGAUAGCGGUGUCUUGCUCAUGCGUGCACCGUAAGAUUUUCUUCUGAAGGACUAAUGUUCUGCAUCUGGCUCCUGUUGUCCAUCUUCUGCUUUUUUUCCUUAGUCUAAACGCGUUUGGGAGAAAAUGGUAGCUCUGUUCAUUUUUCCCUUCAAGUGUCAGGUAGGAAGCAGGAUAAACUUAGGAAUCUCUGUGCUUAUUAAUCUAUAAUAAAGACUGGAUUUAACCACUUAACCAAAUGUUCUUGUUCAGAAAGAUUGCCUUUGAUUUAGUUCAGAUGCUGCAGGUUGUCUCCACCUGUUUCUGCUUGCUUUAGCAAAUUUUCUAGGGCUAAGGAGCAUUUAAAAAUCUAUCAAGUCUGGGAAACAUCAGGUGGCUAUAGAUGCUACUGUCCCACUAAGUAGAAAAAUGGAUACACCUGACUACUUAUUUCUCCUUGUUUAUAUGCUGGUAAGUGCCAGGCGUGAAGUCCUAAUUAUUCUUGUGGCAGAGACUCUAAAAUCUCUGGUGGUUACUUCAGGCAGUGUACAGGCAAUGUCUGAACUGGGUGACUGUGGGAUAUAUUAUUUGAAUCCCACCAAAAGCUGAGUAGCAUGGCAUGUUUCUGAAAUCCUGUUUGCCUGCUUGAGGCUCUGUUAGAAAGGCCUUCUGUGGGAAACUUCUGAUAUUUUGGAGUAAACAUGUUUUAAAAAACACUUCUCUUUUUUUUGAAAUAUACAACUGGAGUAGUCUUCUCAUUGGAGGUAUUAAAAUAGGAGGCUAUUCAUGUUACAAACACAAUUGUUUCAAUGUGGUACUUUCUAUGAUGAGACUUGGACAAGAUUCCAUCUAAGAGAUGACCUGAGCAACUGUUUCAAUUGUUAUAUCUCUUUUCCCCAAAGUGCCCAGGGAGAACAUUCAAAUUACUUUGUCUUCAGAAUUUAAUAACUCGGUAAAUGAUUUGUGUGUGUGGGAUUGUGUCAUUGAUACUAUUCUGAACCCUGCUGCUACUUCAAUAUGUCAAUACCAAAAAAAAAAAAAAAAAGCUGAGAAAUUCCACUUGCCAGCUACCUUUUUCCCUCUUAAAAAUGGAAUUCUUGUGUUUGGGUGCAGAAUUUCUGAUGACUUCGGUCUGCUCUAAGACCUCGAAUGUCUUACAGCUAAGUGGAACAGUUAAGUUUGAGAAGAAUUGAGAGGAAAAGAAGGAAUAACAGCAGAUCCUAUGUUAUUCCUACUAGGAGUGUGAUGUACUUUUUAACAUCCUUGCAAUACUGAUAAGCAUACAUGCAUGCUCUUCAGGCAGCUUGGCGUUUUAUUUUUCAGAACAAUAUCGGCGGUAUUUUUUUCCAAAUAAUAAAAAGAAUAUACAUGUUUUUUUGAGUGGAUUUCUUUGUACACAGAGAACAUCUAGGGAAUUCAAGGAAUUAUCCAUUUUGCCCCUUUAGUCCAUGUGUCAAUUUUUUUCUGUAACAGUCAUAUAUUGAUUGUGGUAGCAGGAUGAUUUGAACCUUAAGGACGUUCUUCCCCUUUUGUGACAGAUGGCAAAGCAAGAAUGUGAUUUUUUUUUUCGAGUACUAGAGGCCAUAAUGCGAGUGAAACGAGGCUGUUCAAAUAUAAAUGGGUGGCAAGUUAAGCUUGAAAAUUAUCUCAGGGCACAAACAGCCUCUUUGGCAACUUUAGAUACUAACAUAUUUUCAGCUACCUAUUAGACAUGAUCCCUCAAUGGGCAUCAGAUAAUCUCUUAGGAUGUAUGUCAGGAGCUUUUUCACUGACAUGCUGCCACCUUGAUAAAGGUACCUAGAAGCUUCUGAGUGCAACAUGUUGGAAUCUGUUGCUUCUUUAAUCAUCUCUUCAGAUGGGUUAGAUCAUAACAGUUUUUGUAAUUCUGCUGAAGUUCAACUACAACAUUGAACUGGCUACAAGCUUGACAGACAUUAGGAUUGGUUUUUCUAGAGACGGUGUUUCAAAAAUGACUUAGCACUGUCACUUUGUUUCCAAAAACUGAAUAAAAUGUCCCACUUAGUUUUCAAAAUGGUUGGUGGAAACUAUAUGUAUAAAAUUGUUAAUUUUGUUGAACUGCAUAUCAAAGUUGUGUUUCCUCUCUGGUAUCUUGUCCCACUGUAUUGCAGAAGCUGUCUUUUCGGCUGGAUGCUGUGUUCGGAACGUAAGCCAAGGGAUCAGCUUGGAUCAAGUAUCUAUAAAAAGAAAUUACAAUUUUUAUUACAAAGACUUGGCACAAGCAAGCAUUAGUAAACGUACUAUUGUCAUGUUGUUGAAAAGAUCUGAGGAAGAGUUAGACUUAAUCUAGGGUCUGUGGGGUAACUUGGACAAUUUGGCAACGCCACUCACAUAGGAUAGUAGUUACAUACUGUGCCUGCCUAGGCAUCAUCUGUAUGUACUAGGCACAGCUAAACCUUAAUUGUGACUGAGAGCCCAUUUGAUCUUUUAGAGGCAUCGGCUCUUUUCCUAGGCGUCCGCUAUGGUCGCUGAACACAAAAGUUUGCCGGUAACUCUAUGUAUUUAUGCUUUUGCUUGAUUCAUUAUGCUUUGAAGAAGGGACUAAAGUAGGUCAGAGUUCUUCUAAAAUAAUUUUGUGUGGAAACUAGGGACCCGCUUAGAACUAGGCCCAACAAAUAAAAAGCCUGAUGUUGAUAAACUUGGUGUUGGCUGAUACACUCAAGUUGGACCCUCAUUCUUGAGAAUGAAUUUCAAGUAGAUCCAACUGCUGCAAAUGCUGCUUUGAGUGCAGUUCAUCUGGAAAUGCUGAGACCUUUUCCUCGUAUGGUAGUUCAGAGCUGUUUGUUAUCUAAUAUGCUAUUAAUUGCUCUGCAAUUUGUGAGUGAAUAAAACACUGUAGAAAGGUAACGACUUGUUUAGUCUCUCCGCUAAUAAUCCCCCUUGAGUGAAGGUGCGCUGACAGCCUAGUCAAGAGAACCAGAGAGUGAGAAGAUGCCCACUCUUAAGUGUCAGGAAGUGAACAUACGUCAAGCUAGGUAAGAAUGUGAGCAUGAGCAGGCUAAAGUUGUGUAGGCAGAACACAGCAAAUCCAGUAUCACUGCAAAAUUAUGCAUUAGUGGUUUGCUGAAUACCCUGGUUUUUGCAAAGGAGGAAAAAGGAAAGCAGGCACUUAGGUCACCUAGCUAGGUAACAGUAUAUGCAUUCGCAGUAUUCUUCAUACUGUGGAGUUUGAUAAUAGUGGAAAAUAAUAUUCCAAAUUAUUUCAACACUUUGUGAGAACUGUUGUUACUGUUUGAUAAUAGUUUCUGUGCUAUGCUUUUCAUAUCCUACUGUCCUACAAAGCAGUUUGUUCUUGUUAUUAAUAUCAAGGCUAAUAGUUCGAACAGUUUCCUUGCUUAUGAGUAGGGAAUGAGGUGGAUUAACACUGAUGUUGGAGGACCUUGCGUGGGGACACUGGAGCACAUGGGAUAGGUUAUUAUAGUAGGGACAGGCAAAAGAAUCUACAGACAGAAAUGGCAUAGGACCUGAAUGCAGCGAUCACGUUAGACUUCAGAAUGAGAGAAUGACAGUUAAUUUUCUAAAACUCUUGAGCAGUGUAAAUGUUCAGUUCACCUUUUUUCUCAUGUAGUCUUCAGAAUUCUUUGCAAGGAAGUGGGGUCAAAAUAUUCCUGCAUUUUAGGUCCUGCUAUUUGUGUUUGAAUAAUCUUAAGCAUGAGAGAGAAAACUGUGUUUUUUUUCUGUACCCAUGAUACAAAAUCCCAACUGAAAGCACUGAUUUGAAAGGUUGAUCUUCCUGUUAAAAGUGGAUAGCUAAAUUAUAAGCGAGAUAAUUAAUUCUGUGAAGCUAUCCAGUGGAUUUGGUUAGCUUUUAUAUAUACACAGAGCAAGAUAGGAGAAAAGGGAGUAGAGUGGAUGACAAAAUAUGUGUUUUCCAUUAUCAUAAAGAAUUGAAUACACACUCAUGUAUACAUACAUGUACAGUUAGAUGUCUAUUUAGAUAGAAGUCUCCAUCUUAAUACUUUGCUGGUGCAAUGGGAACACAUCCCUUCUGCCUCAGCAGAAAUAUAAUAAAGAAACUUUGCUGUUCUUGUGAUUUUAUAUCAUUCAGCUCUAAUCUUGUAUCUGGAGAAGGAUUGAUCAGGAUGUAAGAAAGGUUCUGAUGAUCGUUCAUUUCAUCUAGAGGGCAUCUGAUGAUCUAGAGUUCAUUUCAACUAUGUGCAUCCAUACCAAAUCGGGUUUAAAAACUAAUUGUCAAAGGUAUGAUUUGCGACAACCCAAUUUGAAAGAUUAUCAUUUUUGGAUCAGAGUUGUCAAAAAAAUAUCAGGUACCAAAGUGAUAUCCAAUAAUUAGAAAUACCUGAUGUAUCAUCUUUUGAGUUAUCAGCUCUCCAAGCAUGUUUUCUUUUUGAGUGUUCUGAAAUACAUUAUUUUGCACUUCUUUCCAGUUACAGAACUUCUUAAUGCAACUCAAUUUUACUUCAAGCAGUGUGUUAUGUGGCUUAUGUUAGCAAGUGGGAAGCAGCCAAGGCCAAAUGUACAUGUAUGAAAUUCUCAUCCCUUUCCAAACUUAGUCAAUGUAUAACUUUUUUCACCUUCCCUAUAUCUGAAGUGAGAAUUAGCAUUUUCCUUUUAUCACCUCUGCCAAUGGGUAGAAACGUGAAAGAUGCAGAAAACAUAAUCGGUAUUUGUUUGUUUUUUUUUUUAGGAAGUAUUGCUGAGUUAAGUCUCAGCACACUUGUAGCUAUCGCUAGCAUUAUCUUCUGUGCAGUCUACUCUGAAUACUUCUCCUAGGGUGUCACAGUGAGACUAAUAGGUCUCAAAUGGAUAAACAUCUUGCACUAAUUUCUUCAUUUUAAGUGAGAAUUAAAAUGAUGUGGUGGAGAACAGCCCAGUUCUAGUUUUGGUGUGAUUCCCAAGUCUUGGUAAUGAACUGAGUUUUUGAAGUGUGUUCUGUAGGUUAAAAAUGACUGUUUUCUAGUACGUGUAACUUUUCUGUGUGAGCAUAUCACGUGUUUUGCACUACCGUAACAAUUUCUGUCUAGAGAACAAUUAGAUUCUGAAUCCAGGUGCAAUUACACAGCUGAAGCGAUCUUUUACGGUACCGUUGUCUUCUGUGAGGUAAAACUGAUACAAAAUAUUUUGACAAUUUAUACAAACACGUUCACCAUAUUAGCACCAUCGUGCCUCUGCUAAAGGCUUGCAUGGCCAAACAAGUGUUAUGUCCCGGUUGGAUUAUGUGAAUUCACAGUUAAUUGAAUUCAGAACCGGAGAUCUCAGAGGUUAUGUUAUCAGUAUAAAGAAAGCCAAAGAUGUAAAAUUGGCUUUAGAGUUAUUCCUAUGCGUGAAGAUCGGUAAGCAGCUGUGGUAAUUUCUUUCAGUGCCCCCCACACUGAUGCAGAGAGAUAGUAUUGAGGAACAUGUUAAACUGCGGCAGUGAGUGAACUGGCAUGAUUGAUUUGUGCCAGUUUGGGAGGACAAAGAUCAAAAAGUUUCUGUUUUGUGCUUAAUACUUAAUGGGAUGAGCAGGGAGUGAUCUAACUUUAAGGUGGGUGAAAGGCUUGUGGACUUUAUUACUAAAAAUAAGGGAGGCGGAAAGAUAGCAGUGGGAAUGUGAUAGUCCAAGUUUGCAGCUGACUUAAUCUGUAAAAUCCAAGUCCUCUAGUGACCAAUAUAAAUGUGAAUCAAAUUAACAAAAUUUCUUGUGGUUGACUCCAUGUUGUUGUGGCUUUUGUCAGUUCUGCAAAAUACUUAGCCCUGGUACCUCCUGCUGAGAGUCAUUUGGUAUCUGCAAAUAAAGCAAGAGUAAUAACCAUCUGUUGGAGCAUGGAAUAAAAAGUUUGUGUGUAAUUGUAAAGAGUGAGCAAAAUUAUAGCCAUAUAUUGUGUAGUAGACUUAGCUCACCAUGAAGUUGAUGUGUGCGUAGCAACUGUAAGAACUGCUGGGCAGUAAGCUGACACUGGUGUUACGGGAUGUCUUGAAGUUGCAUUAAGAAUGUGUAUUGUUAAAAUGGUCUAAGAAGAAUAUUCAUUUUUGUAGGAAAUAUUGCUUACCCUCAGCUACUAGAUACCUUAGGCAUUGGUCAAGUUCAAAUACAAUCGUUUUGAAAAAUGAGACUGCAUUUGUAAAAUGGUGGUAAACUAUCCCUGGUAUCAGUAAGGUCAUAUUACCCAGUUUCUGAUGAGGGAGCUGGGCUUGUUUAGCUUGGAGAAGAAAAGGCUCUAGGGAGACCUUUGUGAGGCCUUCCAGUACUAGAAGGAAGCUUAUAAACGAGAGAUGUGGGCUUUUCACAGGGGAAAAUAGAAGACGAGAGGGGAAUGGUUUUAAACAAAAAGAGGGCAGACUGAGGUUAGAUUUUUAUGAUGAAAUUCUUCACUCGGAGGGUGGUGAGACACCGGCACUGGCUGCCCGGAGAAGUUGUUGAUGUCCCAUCACUGGAGGUGUUCAAGUCCGGGUUGGCUGGGGCCCCGGGUAGCCUGACCUAGUGGGCGGCAACUCUGCCCACGGCAGGAGGUUGGAACUGUGUGAACCUUAAGGUCCCUUCCACCCCAAGCCAUUCUUAAGAUUCUGUGACCAAUGUUGAUGCGUUGAGUAUUGGUGGUUUAUUGUCAUUUCCGUGUUUUGUGUUUUUUAACUCUGCAUGGAGUAUAUUGACAUGUGAACCAGAAGUCUUUUGAACUUCACUGAAAUACACUAAAUGACUUCAGUUUAGGUAUGCGUGUAGAUGCAUAUUUACGUAAAAUUCAAUUUUACCCUCCAUUAUCUAUGGUGGAAACAGUUCUACUUAUUCCUAAUACUAUUUUACUGGUUGGGAUGUACAAUACCAGUAGAGUUUCCUGUUUUUGAGAAACAUAGGUUGCUCUGAAAGUAAUGCCUCCUACUGAUUUACAUGGAAACAACUACAAAGAGCGCAAUUGCAUUAUAUGAUGGAGCAAAUUCUCAGCUACAAAACACUGUUUUUCAACACAUACACUGCUACGCAUUUUCAGUAACAUGAGCAAGAGCCUGUGUGCUGCGCUCGUUUAAAAAAAAAAUAAAAUCUGCAUGGCUGUCCAGAACGUGGUUUGGGGUGACAACAACUGAAAGAGCAGGAGGUGAGAGAGACAUUGUAACCCUUACCACUGGACCUCUGAAAGUAACUGAAAUUGAAGUUUUGAAAAAAAGACUUUUCACGCUGCCCAAAUGAACAUGUCACCUGGUUAUUUCGAUGCUGGGACAAUGGAGCCAACAAUGGGUCGCUAGAUAGCACAGAAGCUUGCCAACUGGGAAGCACUGCUAGGGACUUAGCCAUUGACAGAGGUAUUAGUAGAUGUCAGGAUGAGUCCUUCAUCCUUUGGAAGCAGAUGCUGUUAGCUGUAAAGGAAGAAUACCCCUUCAAAGACGAUCUGAGGCCUGAGAUAAAGAAAUGGACUACUAUGGAAAAAGGCAUCCAAUAUUGAGAGAACGUGCCGUGGUGGAUAUGUUACAUGACCCCACGUUCAUUCCUGAUGAUCCAAACUAGGAGCAUGAUCCUGAGAGAGGCAGGUGUACACCAGAGGUGUGGUGUAAAUUGACAAGAUCUGCACCAGAAAAGUACACUGGUACAUUAGCAGCCAUGUAUGGCAGAGGGGAAAGAAGACCCCUUCUAAGUGAACUGAUUUCUAGGCUCCAUGACUUUGAGCUACAUUUAACCCCUCUGCAAGCUUAUAUUUCAGCUGUUGCAAAAGUAACUGAAAGACUGGAUAGAAUUGAGAGUAAUCAAGAAGAUGCAAUGGAGGAACUGACUACGGUGCCUCAUGACGAUGAACCUGAUGAGGAUAAGGAUUAUCGAAACAGCCUACUGGAGUGGCUGAGCAAAUUAUUUUCCUCCUGACCUGCAUCAUCCAACAUCUCAGCUAUCGGAAGAAUUCCUCCUGCUCAAGCAAGUGACAACACUAAGACUAUGUCGCGCAUUGCUUUGUGGCGUUACCUACGUGACCAUGGAGAAGAUGUGAAGAAGUGGCACAAAAAACCCACUCCUGCCCUACAAGCAUAGGUCAAAGAAUUGCAAGACAGAUCAACUACCAAGGCGAAAUCCUCCAAGAACAUGAUCGCUCCAGUUGCUGCGGGACGUGGCAAAAGCCCUAAGGACCCUGAUCAUGACUCACAGAAGAAAAACAAUACAGUUCUUUCCAGCUGAGCUGUUAAGUUGAAGUGACUUCUCAAGAGGACAGCCUGAGAUCUGGAGAAAUCCCCUGCAGCUGUGAGAGUAUGGACGACAGGAAGGCAAAACCAAGACAGUGCCCACAGACCUCGUAUACGAGAAGCUACCCUUGUCACUUGGCCAUGGCUCCAAGCCUCUGGAGAACUCAAGAAAAAAAAAAGAUUAUUUAAAUAAUACCUGAAAAUAAACAUCAUCUAGGACGUCUGUCUUCCCCUGCUUUUGCAAGAGGUCAGGAUGCAAAAAAGACCAUUGACUCAGUGGAGAUCUGGAGGCUCAGAACAGGAAAGGACCUACCAGAAUGGAAUGUAUCUUCAUCUGCAAAGAUUAUGUGCCAGACUGCAUAUAUAGGUCUUAAAAAAACAAGAGGAAACACACUAAAGAAAGCACAUGAAAAUCCUGCCUCCAUCAUCAGUACAACAUCUGAACUCUGAUGUACUGUAGCAGCUCGAAAUGAAUGAGGAAUUCAUAAGCUAAGAUCACUUGGUAAUUAACUGCCAAGAAGAGUCCUUCACCACAACAGCCAACUCCCUGUAAGAAGAUGGCACUGCAGAUGAACAUGUGGAAGGAUAGGAUAGUGCACCACAGCCAGCCAAAAUCUUUUGAAAUGCCAGGUUGUCUGCACAGCAGAGGAGCCAUCUGUAACCGCAAAGGACAACAUCAGGAUUUAACUCAGUAAAGCAGAUCAAAGAAAGAACAAGCGUGAAUCGAUUAGCCACGUCAUAAUUUGGAAUCCAUGAGGAGAGAAGAGCUCACUGGCAAGGUUCAAAAUGAUGCACCGUGAUGCAGAAGUCCUAGAAGUUUAACUGAGAAAACUGGAGAGAGACCCACUUCAGAAGCACACUCACAAUGGCAGUGUCACAACCUAAAACCAGCCUUACAAAUCCAGUAACCAGCUUUGUUCUGGGCAUUUUGCUGGGAUGUGAGAUGGAUGUUUCUAAUUUCUGUUGUGGCAUAUUUCACCAUUUAACCCUGACCAGUUUCAAAGGAAAGAGAAUUGAUUUGGUCACUUAGUUAAUUGAAAUACUGAACCAAAAGUUUCUGCUUACACUGGAAACAAGUCUUUCAUGAAAAGCUUUGUCCAUCUUAAAAGAGAACUCACAAAGCAAGUGAGACAUGAUAGUGGCCAUUAGAGAGUGGGAAGAUGAAUGCGAAUUGCUGCCUGUGAAGUGCUGCCUCGUCUGUCUCAGGAGAGCAGCUGCCAAGCACACUCAAAAAAGAAAUCUGAAAUCAGACAUCUGUAUGUGCAUUGCGUCCACCAUGUUUGCUCGGAGGAGAGAGAACCAUAUGAAGCAAGACAGCAAAGGUGAAAUCCAGCAAGACAUCCUACUUUAUUGCCAUGGCAAC